rnacentral:tRNA from 2 species
GCCAGCGUAGCUCAGCGGCAGAGCAGCUGUUUUGUAAACAGCAGGUCGUCGGUUCAAAUCCGACCGCUGGCU